rnacentral:tRNA from 2 species
GCCGGGAUGGCGGAAUGGUAGACGCAGCGGUCUCAAACACCGCGGCCGCAAGGUGUAGGGGUUCGAGUCCCCUUCCCGGCACCA